rnacentral:rRNA from 1 species
AACCUUUACACUGCACGCCAGUGCGAUAAGGGGACUCCGAGUGCGAGGGCAUAUAGUCCUCGCUUUUCACCACCGUAAGGAGGUGGUAGAAUAAGUGCUGGGCAAGACCGGUGCCAGCCGCCGCGGUAAUACCGGCAGCACGAGUGAUGACCGCUAUUAUUGGGCCUAAAGCGUCCGUAGCUGGCCGUGCAAGUCCAUCGGGAAAUCUGCCCGCCUAACGGGCAGGCGUCCGGUGGAACCUGCAUGGCUUGGGACCGGAAGACCAGAGGGGUACGUCCGGGGUAGGAGUGAAAUCCCGUAAUCCUGGACGGACCACCGGUGGCGAAAGCGCCUCUGGAAGACGGAUCCGACGGUGAGGGACGAAAGCUCGGGUCACGAACCGGAUUAGAUACCCGGGUAGUCCGAGCUGUAAACGAUGUCUGCUAGAUGUGCCACAGGCUACGAGCCUGUGGUGUGUCGUAGGGAAGCCGUGAAGCAGACCGCCUGGGAAGUACGUCCGCAAGGAUGAAACUUAAAGGAAUUGGCGGGGGAGCA